AUUGAACGCUGGCGGCAUGCUUUACACAUGCCAGUCGAACGGCAACACGGGGUUCUUCCUGGCGUCGAGUUGCCGACGGGUGAGUAAGUCAUCCGAACAUGCCCAGUCUUUGAGACUGGGCCGACGACAGCCGACUUAAUACCGCAUAGGAUCUUAUAUUGAAACGGGUGGACCGAUAGUGCUCGCGCGUUUUGAUGUGCCGAUGUGGGAUUAGCUAGUUGGUUUGGUAAAGGCUUACCAAGGCGACGAAGCGUAGCUGGCCUGAGAGGACGACCAGCCACACUGGAACUGAGACACGGUCCAGACUCCUACGGGAGGCAGCAGUAGGGAAUUUUGGACAAUGGGCGAAAGCCUGACCCAGCAAUGCCGCGUGAGGGAAGAAGGCCUUCGGGUUGUAAAACGCUUUUGUUAGGGAAGAAAACAUCUGGGCUAAUCCACCGGCGGGAUGACGGUACCGGAAGAAUAAGCAACGGCUAACUACGUG
rnacentral:rRNA from 1 species